AGUCCCCGGUGUGUGAUGUUCCCCUAGCGGAAGAAAUUUCUAAGCAACAAAGCAUUCAAGAGGAAGUCUGGCUGAUUCUAAACACCUACGGCAAGAUACAGGAACAAAGGAAUUACUUAAAUUUGGAAUUUAUCAUUAACGAGAAUACACACAGAAGUUUGGAAAAUAAGAGUUUGGAAAAUUUGCAGCCUAGCCAUGUGGUAGAGAAGAAAAAAAAAACAUUUUCAGGAGAGGAAUUCAAGCAAGCUAUAGAGCAAUCACUUGCUGGAGAGAUUUGUGUAACUAAAUGGAGCCAAGUGCAAAUACCCAAGACCGUCGAAAAAGGCCUCAAAGGUAUUUCAGAAACCUCCUAAAAAGCUCCUCCUGUUGAAAUGAGAGUGUUCUCUUCUCCCCCUCGCAGGGGUGUGGCUGGCUUUUUCAGUGCUCCCCUGCUCAAACCCAUAGAGGGGAGCAUGCAGACAGGCAGGUCAUGGGGAGUGUUUGGGGGCUCUGACCCCACUGCAGUAUCUAGGGUUGUUUACAGCUCCCAAAACCCCAGUGGGCUUGUGUUACAGUGUGCUCUUUUCAGCUUAGCUGUCUGCAGGCAGCUUGUGUUAAUCAGCUCAACUAGACCCUCUACCUUAUCACAAGGGCAGAGGGCUUUCUGUAUCCCAGGUUCUUGCCCUAGUGUAUCAGAAAAAUCGGAUCACAUGUGGGCUUGGAGGAUGGGUGCAAGGUUUUAUAGAGUGGUGGAGGUAGCUCUCAGUGAAAUGGAUGGGGAGCCAGAAGGGGGAUGGAAUGGGAAGGUGGUCUUCCCCUGGAGUCCGGCCACCCAGCAGCUGGACUCUCCUCUGACCACCCUCGGCUGAAUUCCACAUCUUCCCACCAUUGAUGGCUUGCUGGUGUCUGUCCAUGUGUUCUGCUCCUCUUGAUGUCCAGCCACUUGUGUGUGUGCCCGCUACAGUCUUGGGAUUUUCUGGGCACAGGAUGGGGGUGUGGUGGGCCAUAGUGGUCUUGGAAAAUACAACAUUUGUGAAUGAAAACAGGAGUGCCUGUUCUCACUUUGGUCCAUGGACGCAGGCCCAAGGGUGGAGCCCUCACCAGGAACCCUGACCUUCUCUACCCAGCACUUCCUUGUCCUGCUCCCAUAACACCAUCACAGGCCUACAGGCCUAGGGGGAAAGAAUAAUUUGGGGGCCAGGCCCAGGUCACUCCUGCCUGCUCAGCAUCAGGACACUGCUCCCUGCAUCUCAGCUGCACCAGCUCCAGCUGUGGCUCAGAGGGUCCCAGGUGAAGCUCAGGAUGCCACUUUGGAGAAUGCAACCCAUAAGCCUUGGCAGUUUCUACAUGGUGUUAAGCCUGUAGGCACACAGAACACAAAAGCAAAGGAGUCUUGGCAGCUUUCUCCUAGAUUUCAGAGGAUGUAUUGGAAUGCCUGGGUGCCCAGGCAGAGGCCUGAUGCAGGGGCAGAGCCCCCACAGAGCACCUCCACUAGGACAAUAAUGAGGGGAAAUGUGGGGUUAGAGUUCCCACACAGAGUUCCCACCAGGGCACUCUCUGGCAGAGUUAUGGGAAGGGAGCCGCCACCCUCCAGACCUGAGAAUGGUAGAGCCACUGGAAGCUUGAACACUAACCCUGGAAAAGCCACAGGCACCCAACUCCGACCCGUGAAAGCCACCAUGGGGACUUCACCAUGCAAAGCCACAGAGGCAGAGCUACCCAAGGUCUAGGGAGCCCACUCCUCACACCAGUGUGUCCAGGAUGCAAGGCAUGGAGCCAAGGAUUAUUUUGGAGCUUUAGGGUUUAACGUCUACCCUGCUGGGUUUUGGACUCCUGUGGGGCCUAUUGUCCUUUUAUUGUGGCCUAUGUCUCCAUUUUGGAAUGGGAAUAUCUACCCAAUGCCUGUACCACCAUUGUGUCUUGGGAGUAAACAACUUGUUUGAUUUUACAGACUCAUAGGUGGAAGAAACACGGCCUUGAGUCUUAGAUGAGACUUUGGACUUUAGAGUUUGAGUUACUGCUAGAACAAGGCCCGGUUCAUCUCCUUCUGAAUGGCUGGCUCAAGUCUAUGAUGGGAGGUGACACUAUUGCAUGUGUCAAAGAGUCUCAGUCUUUACUGAGCAGCUGAUCAGUUCAUUUGUCAAUGACUUUAUAUUAAGAAGAGAGAAAAAAAUUCAACUACAACACAAGACUCUGACUUCAAAAGGCCCAGGGCUGAUUGUUGGGGUUCAGCUGGUCAGAAAGUGGAAUCCGAGAAUGUACCUAAAAGGCUGAGAGUCACAGAUGUGUGGCCAAAACACUGAAGAAUACCUCAGGUAAUUAUUAAAUUCAUAUUGUUAUUGGACUUAUUUCAUCGAGUCAUCACAAAAGAGAAGUAUGAAUGAAUACGUAAGUAAAAGAAUGCAAAAACAGCACUAAAAGUAAUUAGUGAUAUAUGUUGAUUACAUUAUACACACUAGGCUGUUCUAAGUGGUUCUUGAUACAUAUAUUAACUCAUCUAAUUCCUGCAGCAGCUCUGUUAAUUUGGUACCCGUUCUUAUACUGCUUUGUAGAUGAGGAAUCUAUGCCUGGAGACAGCGAGCAAGGUGCAGAGCUGGGAGGCACAUCCACCUUUCUCUCUUUAGAGUCCUUUCUCAAUGACAUCUAUACUGCCUCAAACCACAAACAUUUUUUGAGCACUUAUAUGUUUUUAUGUAAUUAAGAGCACAAGCUCUGGAAUCAAAGUGCAAUGAAUGAAAUCUGAAGGUGUUUUAUUUGUCUGUUUUCCUGAAUGUCCUGUUCUCAAACCUCGGGCAAGUUAUAAAGUUCUCUGAUCUUCACUAUCCUUGCUUGGUAUAUGUGGGUACCAAGGAUAGCAUCUAUCACUGAUGGUUGUGGUGAAAAUUAAAUACCGAAAUAUAUGUAAAGUGCUGACCACCAUGGCACCUAGCAAGCACUCCAUAAGUGCUGUCAAGAUUACUCAAGAAAAUAAGAGCUCUUAUAGUAUCUCAUUUAAUGCUGACAAGGAAGCCCCUUUGAGAAUAGUCUUACUAAUUCAGGCUUAAGACAACUAAAAGCCAAGGCUCUUACAGAUGGUAUAAUUUGCCUGAUAUUUGGAGAUUCCGAGUGGCAUUGCCUAGGACCAAUCCAGGUCCCUCCAGUUCCUAACACAUUUUCCUGUCUGUCUCUUAAUAUCUUAGAAAACAGCUAGCUACCAUGGACUAAGGGUCAGAACUUUAAAGACAGCUUAAAAUUUAGGAGCAUGUAAAUGAUCCCAUUUUCAGAGGAAAAGGUAAUGUCUGCUCAGUUUCUCCACUAUAAGUUUUUCUCUCUCUCUUUUUUUUUUAAAGUUAAUACACAUUUGGGGGACGAUAUUUUGGAAAAAAUGUGUGAUUUGCGAGUGGAGGCCACUCCUUAAAGGUGGCUUACGUAUGGUGACUUCCUUUCAACCAGUAUAGUGUAAAGAAAGGAAAAAAGGAGUUAUCUGAGAGUGGAGAAACCUGAUCAAAACUAUCUCAGACAGAUGAUCAAGGUCAACAUCAACAGUGAUGACGUAUUGAUAGUGUGCACCCUUGAUUUGAUGGGAAUCACACUUUACCUCUGUGGUCUUCCUCCCAAAAGCACAUAAACUCAAUCUAAUCAUGAGAAAAAAAAAUUGACAAAUCCCAACUGAAGGACAUUCUACAAAACACCCAACCUGUACUCCUCGAAAUUGUCAGGGUCACCAAAACAGAAGGAAAAUCUGAGAAGCUCUUACAUCUGAAGUACACCUAAAAUGUGAUAAAUAAAAAUAAUCUGGUAUACCUGGAACAUAAAAAGUUAUACCUUUUUGUGAUAGACAGCAAGUAAGGAAGUCAUGUAAUAUCCAUAAAAAUGAAUGUUAGUCAAUAAAAAAGUAUCUAUGUUGGUUUAAUAUUUAUAUCAAAGCAACAAAAAUGUUAUUAAGGGACCUGGACCAGGGAGUGUAUAGCAACCCUCUGUACAAACUUUAUAAGUUUUCUAUAAAUUUAAAACUGUUCUAGAAUAAAAAGUUUAUUUUAAAAACAAAAAGUGAAAUGAAACAAAAAUUGGGCAGGACAGCUUGUAGUUCUUGAUUAGAUCUACAAUGCAAGCUUCCAAGCCACACAGGCCAAGCCCCUCCUUGGUAUAAACCUGAGAUAGAACCUAAGUGCUAUAAUACAGUGCCCUUUGAAUUGAUCUAUCUACUUUGGCCUUUGGCCUCCUAUUGUACACUGAAGCAUCGCAGACUAAAUUGUUUCCAAAAUAUCAGCUUUCCCAGCGGCCAGAUGAGGAGCUAAUACUCUGCCUCAGUAUCAGGACUCUGUUACCAAGAAAAUCAGUAAAUGGUGCAGUCUUGGCUCACUACAACUUCCAUCUCCCACGUUCAAGCGAUUAUCCUGCUUCAGCCUCCCAAGUAGCUGGGAUUACAGGCACCCGCCACCACAGAAGGCUAAUUUUUGUAUUUUUAGUAGAGAUAGGGUUUCACCAUAUUAGCCAGGCUGGUCUCGAACCCCUGACCGCAAAGUGCUGGGAUUACAGGUGUGAGCCACUGUGCCUGGCCCCAGAGAGGCACUUUCUACUUGCACCCUGAAUCUAGAACUUGCAAACCUAUCUGUGGAAAGAGCAGAGUCAGCAGAAAAAAAAAAAACUUGAAUUUUCUACACAAGGUCCUACCUCUAAUCCCCAUGGGCCAGGAGGAGGGCCUGCCUGGGAGGGUGCAUGAGACUUGCAGAGUGGAAGGAGGGAGUGGAAUAAACUCAGGAAUGGGGAUCACCAUCUCUGCCUGGACACAGGAAGAAGAUGAAGUAUGGACCUGGUGCUCCUAUCAAGGUGCUGGCAAAUGAGAUAUGCUGGAUGCCAGGCUGUCUGUGGCUGGCUAAGCUGCUCCCCAUCUUUUGAGGCACAGCCAGUACACAGGUGGUGAGCGGGGCCCAGCAUGCCCUGACCUUCUCCUGUUAGGAGGUGAUCAGCAGCCCUCCGUCCUCACUGUGCCACGUGGAAGCCUGGGGAAAGGAGACACAUUUUGCCAACACAUUUGAUACAUGCAGAUACUGAGUCCUAGAGAUAUGAAGAUAUUUGCCCCGAAUUACAAAACAAGCUAGAAAAUAAGAAUUGUUUGGUUACCUUUCAUUUUCUGUGAUGUACUAUCCUCAUAAAACAAAAUUCAUUUUAUAUUUACCAUAAUGCAAAUUACCAUAGUUGACUUAAAUUUAUAAUUUUUAUUUUAAAUGAAAAUAUAAGUGUUUAUGACACAUCUUUUCUAAGAGUAAUGGAAAAAGUCAAGGUAGAGGAAAGCAUGAAAAAAAAAAAAAAGUAAGAUUAUUCAGGCUACCUGGAAUGAACUUGAUUGAGAUUUGACUGGAUUUGUAAUAUAAGUAGUGCUAUUUGAGACAAUGAAGAAGGACAGGGUCUUGGGGAAAAAUAGUCAAAGAAACCUAAAUUACAUAUCUCCUUUUUAAUAUAGCAGCAGUAGCAAUUUAUUCCUCACGUGCGUACUUUAACUUGUUAUUACCUGAAUAAAUAAUUAAGAAACCAAGGGCAGGUCUUUUUGCAGAAAGCACGGCUUGUGCAGAGGGAAAAAAAAGCAUGUUGACCACAAUGGAAAUAAAUAUAAUAUAUGGGGGAGAAAGAAGCUCAGAAAAAGCAAACACCAAAAGAAGACAUUUUGGGGAGAGACACAUAUCCCUUUAAUAGAAACCAGAGAAAGUGAAAUUGCAGGAAAUAGAGAGGAUAUGAAGUAGAAAUGUCUCCAAAUAGAAAGAAAAAUGAAUGGAAAAUAAAGUUCAGGUGAAGAGAAUAUCAGAUUAUAAGAACUGGCCAUCUGGACAAAAAGUUUCCUGGGAAAAGAUAAUAGAGAAGUACAAGCUGGGGGUGUCUAGGAAAUCCUGUCACAGAGCCAAAAAAGUGAAGGAGGGAAAGGGUAGAGACCUCCAUUUUCCCUAGGAGCUCCCAACAUGAGCUCAUGAUCUCAAAGUCUUUACUACUUGCUGUCUUGUCACAAUUAUCCAAGUCUUUGGCUUGCUUUCCUCCAUCCCUUCAAUAUUUUAUUACCUGGGUCAUUGUCUCAUUCUUUUUUAUUGUUCUUACUAUAAAUUUGGAUGACUUUGAAUUCCACGUAGACAAUCUUUCCAACAUUUGCCCCCAUAGUUCUUUAAUGGCUUCUCUGUUUCAUUGGUCCUUCAACCUUGCUUUAGUCCAGGAAACCAUCAUUCCUGCCAGGUGUUAUUGAAAUAGCAUCCUACUUCUUUUCCCUGAUUUCCCCCUUAGUUCCCAAUAGUCAAUUCUCAACAAUGCACCCAGAGUUAUUAUUUCAAAAUAAGAAGACUGUGUCACUCCUCGCUCAUAACCUUCUAGUAGCUUCCCAGCUUAUUCAGCAUAAAAGUCAUCACAAUGACCUUUCAUAGCUUUAUGAUUGCAUCUCCUUCCACUCUUGAAAUUGAGCACAAUUUCCCACCCAUUGUCUCUUUAUACUGUUCUACAAACACACAGCCUGCACUCAAUCAAAGGUGGCUCCUUUCUCACCUCUUUGCAUGAACAAAGGUUCAUUGUCUUAUCAACUCAAUAACAGGUGUCAUUGAAAUAGCAUAUUUCUUCUUUUCUUUGACUUACACACACACACCAACUCUUAGAACCCACCCCCCCUUCUUUAUUUAUUUUGUCCUAGCACUUAUACAAUCUAACGUAUUAUGUUUUUACUUACGUGUUUUAUUUGUCUCCCACUAGGAAAAUUUAAAUUAUAUGAAGGUAGAUAUAUGCUUAUUUUCUAACUGUAUAUUAUCUAAAACAUGUCUGGCAUAUAGUCAGAACUUAUUAAAUGUAUUUUUAUGCCAGGCGCGGUGGCUCACACCUGUAAUCCUAGUUCUUUGGGAAGCUGAGGCCAGCAGAUCACGAGGUCAGGAGUUCGAGACCAGCCUGGCCAACAUGGUGAAGCCCCAUCUCUACUAAAAAUACAAAAAAUUAACUGGGCAUGGUGGCAGGUAUCUGUAAUCCCGGCUACUUGGGAGGCUGAGGCAGAAUUGCUUGAACCCAGGAGGCAGAGGUUGCAGUGAGCAGAGACUGCACUGCUACACUCCGGCCUGGGCAACAGAACAAGACUCCAUCUCAAAAAAAUAAAAAGUAUCUUUUAGUCCAUCAUUAUCACUUUUGAAUUAACAAUUUGUCAGUAAGUUAUGAUUAGCUUUUCUUUUUUUAAAAAAAACUAUUAUUAAUUGUAAAAAGCAAAACAAGACAAAACAAAGUCAUAUUUCUUUCUGCCAAACUAAAUCUGUAUAUUAGCUCUAACACUUACAGAUUUUGGAAGAUUUCUUGUAUUCUCUGAUUGCUCAUCUGGAAAAUGGGUCUAUGUAUAUCUUAUACAUUGGAGUAUUAUGUUUGAAAUAAUGUUUGAAAAUUGUUUAUCCAACCACCAUCUAUACCUAGUGAUUUGGAAGCCUUUUAUGACUUAUCACCUAAUAGAUAGAGACUGCCCAGUAAAGAGGAAUCACGUUUGAUGUGCAAAUAUAUGAAUGGUGGCAUUACAUUACAUUACAUAAACACUUAAAUUGAUUCAAUGCUCUUAGAUAAAGAGAGCAGGCUACAAUGGGAAUAAGAUGGAAGGCAAGAGAAAGAACAAGGGAGAAAGAAAGGAAAAUAACAAUUUAAACAGUCUGGCUAAUAUAAUGAAACAUUUCCCUUGAUGCACGGAUGUCCCCAGGUUACCCAUCAUGACAGCAGGCAUGACUCUGUGAGUCCUCUGUCACACUCAGUUACUGCCUUACUCUCACAGGUGACUAGAUAACAGGGCCAAAUGGGAUUCUACUUUUAAAGAUGGAUAUUUCUUGGUAAUGUGGGCCAUAAAUGCAAGCCAGUAUGAAAUAAGGUGCUUAUAUACAUAAUACACCAAAAAAGAUCUGCCCAUUCCUGAAGAAAAAAAAAAAAAAAAACGUUAACAAAGCAAAACAACAACCAUAAAAACACUGCUUUGAGAGGUUGCAUGUAGAGUUCCAACAUUGCUACUUCUGAGGAAUUAUGAAGUUUCAUAAUGAAUAUGUUUCUUGUAUAAAUCAUGCAUAACACAUCAACAGUGUGUGUUUAUGUGACUACUAUAGGAAAAGUAUCGCAAUGGACCCCAUAUGAAAAGGGUCCUCAAGUGUUGAAUCACAUAGGAGAAAUUAAAACAUGAUACUGAUAUUGAUUCACCAAGAGCUUUCUAUUUAUUGUUUCCAUAUUUUAGUAUCUCUGUGAGUUAAAUUUAUAGUUUGGGAGCCCAUGCAUGAAAUCACGUAGAAGCAAUAUGAACCUAAUACCUAGGGAGCAGUUUUAUCUUGCUCUUAGUGAAAAUAAAGAAGGAGAACCACUUCUCUUUUGUGAACGUCCUGAGAGCUCUUUGAACACAGUAAAUCAUUUAGACAUGAAGUAGGGAAGCAGAGCUGCUUCCUCUUGCUUCAUCAAACAGUGAGGUAAGGGGUCUGUCCAGGAAGAAGAUGGGGAUGCCUUGGGCUCCUCUGCCCACACAGUACCCUCUGUCCCAUGCUUCAGGUGCUCCAGUGCUUCUGCAACAAGUGGAGCCAGCAGAGGCAUAAGCAGAAAGACGCCUCACCUUUGCACAGUGUCUGAGCAGGAUUGGUCAUGGGCCAGGCCAUUGUAAUUUGAAGAAAGAGUGGGCACCGCAAGGGAAGAUGUGGCAAUGUAGACACCAAUUCUAAGAAGGUGCCUUUCCUAAUUUAAAACAGAGGGUUAUAAUAAUGUUGUGAGGACUUCAAUAUAUGUGAUUUCUUGUGCCCACUUAUCCCUUGAUCUACAGCAUUUAUUUGAAAUCAAAUAUAAUCAAUGCAAGACUGAAAUGCCACAAAAAAGGCCAAACUGCUAAGUGCUCUUAGAUACUACAAAGAAAUUGUUUAGAAAACCAUGCAGUGACAAAGUAUAGAUGCAGUACACACACACACACACACACACACACACACACACACACAUGCAGGAGGUCAAAGGUAAAGAGGUGUGAGAAAUCGGAUACACUGACUUGCUUGCAAAGUUACAAUCUUCUGUUUGAAGUAAUGAAAAACACCCCAUUUUAAUAAUUUUUUCCUGGAUAAUGUUCAUUACUGUGUGAUGUGACAUAAUAUUUUUCUGGAUUGGGAUUAGCCAUAGAAUUCUGCAGCUCUCCUUUAGGGAACUGGGGAUAUGCUAAGAUCAUAUCCAGACUAAAAUACAGCGUUCCUCACAGAGAAGGUCCCACACAGCCUUAUGAUGAUUACAGGAAUAGCUUAAUGACACGGUCAUCACUCAGCCUCUCAUAAAACUAAUUAAUCUUCCAGCAAUGUUAGAAUCAAAGAGAAAUAUUUUUAAAUAUUAAAACAUAUUUUAUUAAACCACAGUCAUAUUAUCUUUCAUAUUUGAUAUACAAAAUAGAUAUGGACUUAUAGUUUUCAUUUAUCCUUUGAUUUAAUAAAGUAUUCAUAUUAGAAAUCUUCAUUGUAAUAAGAAAGGUCACUUUUGCUAAUUGGAUUAAGUCAGUAUAAUAGCUGAAAAAAAAAACAACUUUUCUGUGCCAAUAAGAUUAAUGAAAUUGCCCUUGAAAAGGUGCAUUUUACAUCUGAUUUCAUAUUUCAGUGAAGUCUCCCUCUGAAAUUGGCCUCAGGGUCCAGACCACAGGACAAUGCUAUAAUUAUGCCUUUCUGGUGCUUUCAAUAAUACCAUUUUUUGAAUUGACUUUGAGGUGAAUCUGCUUUAUACUAAAUUCAGCCCCAGAAGAACUUUGUUCUAUUGAAACUUGAACACACUUUUAUUUCAUCUGUGUUGGAAGUCUUUUUCCCUUUUUUUUUUUUCCUUAAGUGUAAGUGUUAAAGAAUAAGAGACAAUGAAGGGUGGAAAUGAUACGAUUAAGAGCUUUGGGGAGAAACUCUAAAGUCAUGACCAUAUUUUUCUGCUAAUCAAAAGACUGCCCAGUAUGGAGAAUUCAAGUUUCAUUACUGCUUAAUAUCUUCACAAAUCCCAAAUCAAUAUUACUUAUGUUUUAGAAGAUGCCAUCACAAUGAAUUAAAUUUGUUUCUUUAUUAUUUACUUCUAAUACUUUCACAGAACAUACUAUUUAUAAACCUAAGAAAGAGCAAGUUUAGAGACAGCUUGAUUGCAAAUUAUUGCUCAUUGGAGUGGGUAGAUACGGUCUCAGCUGCUUGUCAUCUAUUUGUAAUAUGAACAAGAAGUGUAAAACAGUUUUGAUAAAAAAUAUCUAUGGCAUGAAAUUUCUGCUGCUGAAAAGUCUUCAGUCAUGCACAAAUUCUAGACUAUUUUCACACGGAAACCAGCAAAGCACACACAACGGAACAACUGUAAUGAGAUGAUCAGCAAACCAAAUAUUCCUUUUCCUUUUCUUUUGUUACCUGUAAACUAAAUAUUGGAUGUGUUUUAGAAGAUUAAGAUAAAUUUACAUCUUGAUGUGAAUGUGCUUUAUUACACAAUGAUGUAUUUUCAAAUUAGAACUAUUUUUUGUAACCAGAAUCAUUUAUUCUAACACACUAUCAUGUCUUCAACUAAUAACAGCUUCUUUAGGCUUUGGGAGUAGAUGCACAUAGCUAUUGAUAAGUUUCCUCUUGUUAACAUAAAAGUUUCAGAGCUCUUUUAGUAUUUAUAUGAAAACUCAUUUAUCUCAGCCCCAGCAGUAGCUUUCAAAAUAAACUACUGCAUUUUGCAUCAGGGAAAUUCCCAAAGAUUAUAUAGGCCAUGUGAGAUAACAACUAGAAACAAACCAAUGUGUUGCCUACAUUUCCAAGACCUUUCACUAGUAGACUUAGCAUGGAUAAAGAACGUAUUCUUCAGUUAACAGUACAAGAUGAUCUAUUCUCACUAUGCCAUAUUUGUAUAGUUUAGUGCUCAUUUUGCCAAUAUAAGAUUUUCUUCAAGAAGGUUAAUAAUAUUAGAUACAAGCAAUCAUAUGACACCAUUGCCUUAAUUUUUAAACCAAUAAAAUAAAUUUAAUUCAUUAAUGCUUAUUAAUUAUGUAAUUAAGUUUAGUAAUGAAUAAAUAAAUCACAAGAUCUGGAGUUUAAAAGUAGUUAUAAUAGGCUGGGUGCAGUGGCUCAUGCCUAUAAUCUCAGCACUUUGGGAGGCCAAGGUGUGUGGAUCACCUGAGGUCAGGAGUUCAAGACCAGCCUGGCCAACAUGGUGAAACCCCACCUCUAUUAAAAAUAUAUUUAAAAAAAAAUUUGCCGAGUGAGGUGGUAGGUUCCUGUAAUCCCAGUUACUUGGGAGGCUGAGGCAGCAGAAUUGCUUGAUUCCGGGAGGCGGAGGUUGCAGUGAGUCAAGAUAGUGCCACUGGACUCCAGCCUGGAUGACAGAGCAAGACUCAGUCUCAAAAUAAUAAUAAUAAUAAUAAUAAUGAUAAUAAUAAUAAUAAAGUAGUUACAAUACAACACAUUUAUUUAUAAAAGUGUUAAAUUGUACAAUCCUCAAUUCAGAUUGCUUCCACCACCAUGGACACCACUGUCUCUAUUAUCCGAAUUCUCCUUGUUGUCAUUGUCAUCCUCAUCAUCAGUGAUCAAUCACAAACUGCAUUCGGGUAAAUCUAAUCUGUUCAUAAUUUUAAAUUUUAAGUUAUUUUAUUUUGCUUCCUUUUCUUGAAAAAAAAAUGAAGUGUUAUUGUUAGCAUUUGGAUAUAAUGAUGCACCAUUUUGUAAAACAUUUCCCAGAAACACUUUCCUUAGUUAAAAUCCAAUCUUUCUAUUGGUUCCCCACUCAUUGGUAUUCUUCCUUUCUCUAUUCAAAAGAAGCAUUGAAUUUAAAGUGGUGAUUGUAUUUUGGAACUGGUUUGACAUGAAAAUCUGUCAAAAUACCAUAGUGAUGAUUCAUAUUAUGUUGCCAUUAUAAAUAUCUCUAUUGUAUUAGCGUGCUUUAAUAUCCUCAUCACUUCACUCUUUAGCCCUCUUUAUAAUUCAUAGUUUAAAUGCUUAGCAUUUCAAAUUAAAUUUUCUUUUCUGUUUUCACUAUCUAUUUUAUGUGGAAAACAGUUAUAUUUUCAUUACUUUUUAAAGUAUAUUCUAGCUUUAAACACGAUGUCCAUACUUCAAACCCAGCUUCUAAAAUGUAUACCUAUUAGUUAUUCAAUCUGUUCGAAUAUAGCUAAAUAACACAGUUGUUUUUCACCCAUAACACUCAGGAAGCUGGAAACUAUGGGUGCCCAAAUAGAUCACUAGAUUUCCAAGGCUUAGUUCAUAUGUGGUCUCUAUUCCCAGAACUCUAUGUUCUUAACCUGCGGUGAAAAUAUGUUUGCUCUACCUUAAUCUCCAUUUUGCAACUCACACCAUGUGGCAGCUUCUGAUGAUAUCGGGAUGGUAAAGUCCAAGGGGAAUAUCACAUUCAGGCAGAUCUCACCACUCACUUCCCUUUGUCAUUUUAAAGUACGGUGUCAAACCCUUCCUGUUGUAUAACACUCAAAUUUGUGUCAGAAAUAGUAAAAGUAAACCUUCCAUUACACUAAAGUUCUUUUAGUUCUAAGUGUCAGAAAGAGAAUUUUAGGGAGAAUGAUUAUCACCUUAUUUCUACCACUGCAUGCAAGGUGUGCACCUAUCGCUUUAUGCUCUUAGCCAUUAGCGGGUUCCAGUCGCUGAAAUUCAGUUAUAGUUCUGCACAUUCACCUCAUGGUGCUGUCUGCUAAUCUGAAGAUCCCCAAUGGGAAAACCAGUCUUGCUAAGAGAUGUGGUUUAUGAGAAAUGAGGCCUAAUGAUCAUCUACACACAAAUUGAUUUGAGGAGUGGUUGCUUUUUCAUUUUUUAGAAAAACGUUAACACCUCUGUUUUCAUCACUGAGUGACUUAACUUUACAUAGUUCAAGUUGCUCCUACCCACAGAGUCUCCACUAGACCCACUUGGCCACAGUUAUUUUUGGCUUCGCCAUACGCCCUCUGAUCUGCAAGCCUUCCAAAUCCUGUUGGAAGCCUUUGCCUCUCUCUUUUGUUUUUUAACAGUGUCUGCCAAACUUUAUUCUUACUUCCAGAUAUCUCACACCUGGAUGUCUGUAGAAACUUCCCAUUAACUACAUCUUCAAAUACAAUCAAAUGUCUGGGAAUUUCUUCAGAAAAAUAUGGGGGUGGGAGGUGGGUAGGGAUUGGCCAUGAUUUGAUAGUUAUUGAAGUUGGCUGAACACUACAUAGGUUUUUUCCGACUUUUGUCACUUCUUUUAAAUAUCUGCAUUUUUAAUUAAAAAGUUAAAAAGGGAUUAUCAGAGCUUAAUAUAACUUUUAGUUAUAGCAUACAUAUGCAUAUUCAUAAAAAGUCAACGACUACUCUUGUCCAUUUUAUGGAUUUUAUUUUUUUAUCAUCAGCUAAAAAUAUUUAGAAGUGGGAAAAUAAAGUAAAAUAAGUAACUGUGUGGAGCUAGGUUGGUAUGUUUAAAAGCCCAGCUUAGUGACUUACUGGCUAUUGGGUUAUGUACAAGUUACUUUAGUUAUUCUUGUCUCAUUUUCUUCAUAUGAAAACUUGGGGAGAGUAACAGUAUAUAUCUUACAGAGGAUUAGAAGGCUUAACACAUAUAACAAAUGUAGUCAUGUUCUGUUACACUGCAAACACUCAUUGCAGGUUGAUCACCACCACGGUUAAUUCCUCUGCAUAAAUUUUGUGGCAACUGAUAAAUCACUCCCAUUUAAAGUCAAUGCCUGUAGACUUUUCCAUGUGUUUUAUUAAUGGAGAUACAAAUAAGUCACAACAAAUUCUAAUGUAUUAAUGGGGUAUUUUUAAUUUUUCUUUAUUCUGUGUUAUUUAGAAAUGGAAUACUGAUAAUCUGUAGAAAAAGUAAAUCUAUGUGAAUUACUAUAAAAUCUGAAUAUCAUUUUACAGUAUUUUCGUAGCAUUCUCAGACUGAAUUCUCUAAGGGCUAGUUUGGUUCAACUGGACUUUUUACUAUAAAGCUGAGUUCUACCCUUCAGUUGUAACCAAGAAAUUUCUUCUUUAUGAUCCCAAAUGCCUGGCUCAGCCACAGCCACUCCUUCCACUCUUUGCUCUUCCUCUCAUGUUCUGCUCCCCAUUUCAGCCUUUUCAGGUUAAAGAGCAACUGCUGAGGCCCACGAUGGUCGGGGCUCUUGGAGUCCUUUAUGAGCUUGACAAGAUCCUAACUGAGGGAGCUUUUUUUUUUUUUUUGAGACGGAGUCUUGCUCUGUCACCCAGGCUGGAGGGCAGUGGCGCGAUCUCGGCUCACUGCAACCUCUGCCUCCUGGGUUCACGCCAUUCUCCUGCCUCAGCCUCCAGAGUAGCUGGGACUACAGGCGCCCGCCACCACGCCCGGCUAAUUUUUUGUAUUUUUAGUAGAGACGGGGUUUCACCAUGUUAGCCAGGAUGGUCUCCAUCCCCUGACCUCGUGAUCCCCCCGCCUCAGCCUCCCAAAGUGCUGGGAUUACAGGCGUGAGCCACCGCGGCGGGCCCAAAAACAAUUUUUAACCUUGGAGGGUCCCAGUGGUGCUGUGCUUUGCAUGGAAAUGAGAAGAAUGAUCGUCUCCAGAAUUCUGUGAAUCCCUGUGUUAUCUAUUCCUUUAAAUAACACUGUUUGUCUCAGAGUUCCAUAAAUAAUCUCAAGUAAACAUUUUCAUCAGACAUUGAGGGUGAUCAUCUCUCCAUCAGGGCUCAAUAUCAAUCUGAACUGGAUUUAAUUGAUAAACCAGACCACUCAGCUCCUAUUUGCAGUUUUAUUUUCUCUCAUCUUGAGAAUUCAUCACAAACAUUAUCUUCCAGGCAGUAGUCAAAAUUUCAAAUUCAUAUUACAUCAUGCACAUGGCUGCCUUAUGAAGCCAUUGUCCAUCAAUUCUGAUUUUAUCUACCUGUCUAUUCAGUGUGUAGGAAAAUUUCCAGUAAACUCCUAAGGGUAACUACUGAAAUUGGUAUACAGAGAGCAUAUUCCUGGUGCAAUUACAUGUUUUAAGCUUCCAUUUUUCCAUUGUAGCAUUUUUUUAGCACUUUUAACUCAGUAACGAUUAUGGAAUUUCCUCUCCACAUGCCUCUCUCUCAUUCUUGGAAAUGAAAGGAUUUCUCUAAGACUAGGUGUUCCCAAACACAAGAAAGUUCUAAAAGCUCUACUCACCCUUUCCUUUUAAUAAUACUAAUAAUACCUAUUAUAUCUCUUUAGUAGUUAGAACUAACACAAAUGUUUCCAAUUUAAUAGUAGUGAUUUAUCAAUGUUUGUGUUUCUAAAGAAUAAUCCACUGACUGACAGUAUUGAGAAGGUUGAGUAGAAGAAUGUUAUUGGUAGAAAAACAGGGGUAGGAGAGAUAAUUAUCCCACCUUUGUGUCCUUUUUAAAAUACAAAUAAUAUUUUAUUAUUAUAGUCGCCUGCCUCCUUUCAAAAUGCAGGUGGAAGUGAGAAUGGAAAAAUAAUUGCUAGAGAAAACAGACAAGACCUUCUGAUGCAUCUGUAAUACAUUAUGCCCAAAGGAAGGACACACAAUUGCAUAUUCCCCAAAUAUUUUAGCAGCUGCACUAAAAUGUUUCACAGCUAGGAGAAUAAACUUGGGCAACCAUUAAAUGAGUCUGCCUGACUUUAAAAUAAUUCAAAGUCCAGGAUUGCUUCAUGAUGGAGAAAUGAGGAAUUCAUGCCAAUGGUGUCUCUUUCAACCAUUUUCCAUCAAGAUGAUGUAAAACAGAUCUGCACUCCCUGUUUCCCUAUGUAGUUCUGCCAAAAUGAGGCAGCUGUGCCAUAGAUAUCAAGUCAGGUUUUCAGAGAUUGGUCCUGCACACUGGCAAUAGAAAUGGUGGGAAAGCUAUGGUGUUUGGAUUCUGAGCAACCAGCUGUGUGAUCUCAAGCAGGUCAGUAAACUUAUCUCAGCCCCAGUCAUUGUAAUCAGUGCAUAAGAGAAUGUAAAUAAAAAACCUGGAAUAACACAACAGGAAAUCGUGUUAUAUGUGGCAUCAGACCAACUUAGAUUGGUACCCAUUCUCCUCAUCACUGGCUUUAUCACCUAACCUUCUUAAUGUUGACAAAUGACCAAAGCUUUCUAAGCAAUAAUAUUCUUAUCUUUAAAGUGAUAAUAGUAUCUACUUAGUUGGGUUGCAAAGAUGAAAUGAGGGACAAGUGAAAGCGUCGAGAAAAGUAACAGGCAUGUACUAUCAUUUCUGUAUGCCUUUCUCACCUUAGAGGGACAGAUGUUAAUUUGACAGGGUAGUAGUCCCCUAUUCUUUUUAUAAGGAAUUGCCACAAACUUAGUGUUUUAAAAAACACAUACAAAUUUAUCUUACAUUUCUGGAGGUCAGAAAUGUGUAUCACUGGGCUAAAUCAAAACAAAACAAAAAGGUGUCAGCACCUUCUGGAGCCUUUGGGGGCUUGAAUCAAUUUCUGCCACUUCCAGCUUCAAAGGUUCCUCCGUAUGGUUCCCUUCAUGGUCUCCUUGCUCCAUCUUCAAAGCCAGCAACAUCUGGCCAAGACUUAUUCAUGCUGUGCUCUCUUUGACUCCCCUUCUGCCUUCCUUUUCCACCUAUAAGGGCACUUGUCAUUAGGUUGGCUGCCCUGGGAUAAUCAGGGAUAACCUUCUCAUCUCAAGGUCAACUAAUUAGCAACCUUAAUUUUAUCUGCAAUCUUAAUUCUCCUUUGUCGUAACUUGGCAUUUUUAUGUGUUUAGGGGAAAGUAUUGGACACUAUGAUGAGUCCAUUAUUCUGUGGACCACAUACUAGAAAAAAAAACAUGAAAAGUUUAAAUAGAAGAUGACUUUUGAGUUUCCUUGUGUAGGAUCAUUUUACAAGGUCGAAGAGGAAGGAAUGUGUAAGCCAACUACAAGAAAAUGUGUGUUGAAGGCAUGGUGACAUGAGAAGCAUCACAAUAUGCUCAGGGAGUGGCCGAGGUGUGAUUUAAUUAGACAGAUUGCACAAUCACUGCAUCCACUGGAAAGGAUGCUGUUGACAGAUGGAGAAUGGACCUUAUAGGACAGUCUCAAAGUUUUCAUGCAGGGAAACGAGAUAAUUAAAUGUGAGUUAACGGAGAGAAAAGUGGAUUCUUAGCAACAAUGUCAGGAAUGAAAGCAGCUGAAGCAGCUGGAGGUGAUUGGAACAGGUUUACACAUUUGGACUUGAUUACAAUAGACCAAGAAGAACAGAAUAAUAGUAUAAGAAUAGGAAAUGCAUAUGGAUUGAAGAGAGGGAAUGGACAAGAUAUCUGAAUUUUAUUGGAAGCAAGACGUGGAGUAGAGGGAGAAACCUAGGACACAAUUGAUUUUUUUUUUUUAGUUACAACAUCCCACAAAAUGUAUGAGAUCAACAGGAAUAGAGAAGGAGGAACACCUUCAGAAAGUAGGAAUAAAGAAAGUUUUAAAACGCAACAUGUGGAACUUGAAAAUGUCUGAAUCCAGGGUGAUAUAUUAUUAAUACUAUAAUAUGUAGGUAUAAUUUUGGAAAUUUAUUCUUAAUCAUUUUAUUCAGGGUAUCCUGCCUCAUUCUUUUACCCAAAUUAAAUCCAUCCUUUAUGAUGCCACCAGAAGGAUUUGACACCCAAAUCUGAUCAGUGCUUCCUCCACUUAAAUCAUUUUAAUGGUUUUUCAGGAUUCAUAUGAUUAACUCCAAGCUUUUUAACCUGACAUAAAAGCUACUUCUUUUUUUCAGCAUCAUACUGUACCCCAGCCCCCACCACAAUAAACCAAAAAAAGUUGAUUCCUGUCAAUUAAGAAAUGGAUGCGUUUAGAAGCAUGGAUUUGUAUACUUAAAAUCCACAUCUCUAGACUUCUUCGUGAUACUGGAUUCUAUUGAUAAAAUAAAAAAUUUAAACUAAAAGAUUGUACCAUUGUGUUUCUUCAGCAAACACUUUGAUGUGACUCUGAUUUCAAGUCUUCUCACCCCUCUAAAGGAUCCAGAAUGAAUGAGUUAUUUAACAUAAAUUGCCAGAUGUACUUUCAUAAUGUGAAGGUGUGAGAUGGGGGUACCACCUGAUUCUGCUUAGUCCACAAUGAGAUGUAAUAUGCUUAUGCUGAAAGCUGAGCUUUCAACUGGGUAUCCUUGAUAUACAGCAACCUUGAAAAACCACAAAACUAUCUUCUCAAAGUCUUUAAGCAUGCAUUAUUCAGGCUACUUUGCUUUGGUUUUAAAGAAAAGAUAUGACGUUUGAUGAACCUGAAAAAAAAGAAUCCCUAGAAACGAUUUUUCUCCUUUUUUAUAUUUUAAUUUUUUGAUAAAACAUUGCUUAUGGCCUAAAGACCUUGUAAUGCAUUUCCCUCUUACAGUAAGAAGAGAGGAAAAGAGAGAGAGAAAUUGAAGAACUUCACCCUGAUAAGAUCUCACCACCAGGCAGGGCAGAAGUACAACAAUAUCUGAUAUGUAAUCUUAUCUUUCUUGACAGUUAUAUGCAGUUAAGAGUUGGCAGUACAUAGAGAUAUUGAGCCAGUUUGAUUAAAUAUUUUUAAAAUAUUAGAAAAAGGAUAUUUAAACCCUUUUCUUCUCUAAUGUUACUUUAGUAAUAUACUUUAGUUUUAGACUUAGCAAAUGUAUUUGGAAGACUAAAAUAGUACAGGCUAAAAGCACUGACACAAAGUGGUUUGUUAAUCAUCGAACUCAUGUUAAUGCAAGUGGUUAGGGAAUAGCUAAUUAGCUAAUUUCUAUGCAUUUCAAAAUGCAUAGGUGCACUAUUCAUUGAUAAAUUAAUUCUUCAGAAUAGAUUUCCUGGCUUAUAUCUUGAUUUGUAUUUAACAUAUUCUUUAAUUGAUCAUUUAAUAUUUAAUAACCAUAUACAGUAAUGCAAAAUUAUAAUAAAAUUAUAAUUUGCGGUUAUCAGGAGAAUAUGUUUGCAUCUUGUGUUUGAAUUGCUUUAAAAUACUGUACCUAUAAUAAACUUGUAAAACAUAAUUAUAUAAAAUAUACUAUAUGAAAUACACCUAAGGGCAUAUGGAAAUAAAAUAUUUUCUUUAUUAUUCUACCAAAGCUUAAAACCUGGGCUACUAAAAUAAUACUAAUUUUGAGACUCCAGUAUCUAAUAGAUUUUAAAAGUAUUAAUAACAUGCUUGUUAUUUUCUUUUCAUCACAUUAAUUUAUCUUCAGCCUUCAUCCACUUGAAAAGUGGUGAAAUCUUCGAAAAGUAGGCGGUAUAUAUGCACAAUAUUUAUUAAUUAAAGAGGAUGCAGAUAUCUUGUACAGAAAACAACUAUAUUGUGAAGUGCCCACAUUUGAUCAAAGAUUUAGUUACUAAGAGACAGCAGCAGAUAGUGAAGGAACUUUCAUAAUUCAAAUGUAGAGAACAAAUAUGUUAUUAUUGUAUUAGUUUAUAGGGCUGCCAUGACAGGGUGCAACAAAUUGGUGGCUUAAACAACAGAAAUUUAUUGUCUCAUAGUUCUGGAGACCAGAAGUUCAAGGUCCGGGCUUCUGCAGGGCUGGUUCCUUCCUUGGACCUGAAGGAAAAUCUCUUCCAUGUCUCUCUCCUGACUUCUGGGGGUCACUGGGCAUCUUUGGUGUUUGUGGCUUGAAGACGCAUCACUUAAAUCUCUGCCUUGAUCUCCUCAUGGCAUUCUUUCUGCCUGUCUAAAUUUCUCCUUUUAUAAGGACGUGGGUUCUAUUGGAUUAGGGCCACUCUAGUGACCUCAUAUUAUCUGAUUAUGAGCAAAAAACCUAGUUCCAAAUAAGAUCCCAUCAGAGGUACUGGGGGUUACGAUACUAACAUCUUUUGUGGAACCACAAUUUAACCCAUAAUAAUGAUCUUAAAUUUUUUAGAUAAUUACAUGAAAACAUGCUUUGUGUGUGUGUGUGAAAAUGUUGCUAUUCCUGGGGCAUAAAAUAAUGGCUUUAUUAUGCAGUUCUUGUUUUCUUUGGAAAACGUUCUCCAUUCCUUUGAGUAAAACUGAAGUUGUUCUUGUUUUAUAAACUCCACCCCGACACUCCACAUCAAGCUCCAGUUAGAGUUUGGAUAUUAAAGUAAUUAACUUUACCUCUAGGACAUCAUAAUUUCUUGAGGGAUUUUUUUUAACUAAAGCUUAAUAAAUCUGUCAUAAACAAAACAAAAGUAAAAUAUUACAGUGCUCAGAAAAUAAAAUGUCAUCAAAAUUACAAUUUGCCAAUUACAUUAGAAAAUAUACAUUACAAAAUGUCAAAAAUAAGAAUGGGAAGUUGUCAUAAGAUGUUCUUAUAAAUAAAUUGGAGGUGAUAUUAUAUGUUAGACAACAGCACCAGGAAAACUCAAUAAGCUGCCUCAAAACAAAUGUCUCUGCUUAUUUAGAAAUUCCUGGGGUAGGCCGGGUGUGGUGAUGCAUGGCUGUAAUCCCAGUACUUUGGGAGGCCAA